rnacentral:tRNA from 1 species
GCCGGGGUGGCGGAACUGGGAGACGCACGGGACUUAAAAUCCUGCGGGCCUCUGGCCUAUGCGGGUUCGACUCCCGCCCCCGGCACCA